AGCAGCCGCGGUAAUUCCAGCUCCAAUAGCGUAUAUUAAAGUUGUUGCAGUUAAAAAGCUCGUAGUUGAAUUUCGGGAUCAAUAUGUUGGUCGUGCCUUGGUACGUACUGGCGUCAUUGAUUUCUACCUUCUGAAGAACCUCGAUGUCAUUAAUUUGGUGUCUUGGGGGAAUCAGGACUGUUACUUUGAAAAAAUUAGAGUGUUUAAAGCAAGCUCACGCUUGAAUACAUUAACAUGGAAUAAUGAAAUAGGACGUUUGAUUCUAUUUUGUUGGUUUCUAGGAUCGACGUAAUGAUUAAUAGGGAUAGUUGGGGGCAUUAGUAUUCAAUUGUCAGAGGUGAAAUUCUUGGAUUUAUUGAAGACUAACUACUGCGAAAGCAUUUGCCAAGGAUGUUUUCAUUAAUCAAGAACGAAAGUUAGGGGAUCGAAGACGAUCAGAUACCGUCGUAGUCUUAACCAUAAACUAUGCCGACUAGGGAUCGGAUGAUGUUAAUUUUUUCAAUGACUCAUUCGGCGCCUU
rnacentral:misc_RNA from 1 species